AGGGAUUGGGAGUGGGAAUAAUAGGUGAAUUUCAAAAGGUAAAAACUUCCAGUUAUAAAAGAAGUAACAGGAUAUAUAACAUACAGAAUGGUAAAGAGAUAGACCUUAAACGUUCAUCACAAGAAAAAUGAGUUAUAGCUAUGCAGACUGAUAAAUAACUAGAUUUAUUAUGAUUAUUAUUUCACACUGUAUACGCACAUUGAAUUAUGUUGUACACCUGAAAGCAAUAAAAUGUUAUAUGUGAAUUAUAUCUCAAUAAAAAUUUCAUUUAAAAUAAAUUUAUUUCCAGGUAUGUUUCUCAUUUAACCAAAGAGGAGAAAUAUCUGUACAGAUGAAAACUGCCAUUAAUUACAAAAGAAUUGGAGACACAAAUAAAUGGCCUAAUGAAGGAUGCUCGGGGCUUGAAAGGGCCGGGGCGCUGCUUGUCCUGCCGCCUGCCGGGCCUUUUGUGCUGUAUAGAGUUGUCUCUCUUGUCGGAGCCAGGAACCAGACAGCUGGAAAACAGGCUUCAAUUCAGCCAUCAAACUGAAUAUUGCGUGAAGAGCAGGGAAGGAAGAGUGCUUCUGAAAAGAAAAGUAGAACAAGAGGAAAAGCAUGACGUGGUGGGCUUGGGGAUUCCUUUAAAGAGUGACUAUACUGAGGGAUGAAUGGUCAGUAAAGCACCUCUCUUGCUGGGUAUGGCUCAGUCUUAAGUCUUGUGUUCUGGUCCAUUUACUUCCUGCUGCUCCUGAAGAGUCAUCCCCCUUAAGAACCUGCUCUAGUGGCCGAAGUGAAUGAAUGCUGGUGUAGUCCCUCCCAGCAGCACAGGCAUGUGUACCCAGGCAUGCUCACACAUGCUCACACACAUAGACAUACACAUCACAUACACACACAUACACACAGUGUUACUGAUUAUUGUCAGCAUUUCAAGAAAAAAAAAUGAGUUCUCAUCUUCCCACUGUGCAGUGGUA
rnacentral:lncRNA from 1 species